rnacentral:lncRNA from 10 species
CAGGAAAUAUUUGGCUAAGACACGGCUACUUAUGAUGUCUACAUAAAUAACAGGAUCAGGACUUUGACCCAGCAGCCCUGGAAGCUCACAAAGACACUGUGCUGUGAUCCUGGAAAGAAAGAGAAGAGAGAGAAGGCCAGGAGCUGGGCCAACUAUGGGAAUGAAGAGGAAACUGGAAAAAGAACCUGUAACGCCUGAGAUCGCCUGACCACCAACCCAGCAGGAUGGCUGCUGGGGU